GAAAUGCGAUAAGUAAUGCGAAUUGCAGAAUUUCCGUGAGUCAUCGAAUCUUUGAACGCACAUUGCGCCCAUUGGUAUUCCGAUGGGCAUGCCUGUUCGAGCGUCAUUAUCCUCCCUCAAACCCCGGGUUUGGUGUUGGACCGCCGUACGACUUCGGUCAUACUGGUCCCAAAGACAAUGACGGCGUCCGUGGGACCCCUCUGCGCAACGAGCUUUCACGAGCACGCGCAAAAAGGACCCCGCGGGCCGGUCUCCCCCUUUUACUUCUAAAGGUUGACCUCGGAUCAGGUAGGAAUACCCGCUGAACUUAA
rnacentral:misc_RNA from 1 species